rnacentral:rRNA from 1 species
AGCAGUCGCCACGGUAAUACGGAGGGUGCAAGCGUUACUCGGAAUCACUGGGCGUAAAGGACGCGUAGGCGGAUUAUCAAGUCUCUUGUGAAAUCUAACGGCUUAACCGUUAAACUGCUUGGGAAACUGAUAAUCUAGAGUAAGGGAGAGGCAGAUGGAAUUCUUGGUGUAGGGGUAAAAUCCGUAGAUAUCAAGAAGAAUACCUAUUGCGAAGGCGAUCUGCUGGAACUUAACUGACGCUAAUGCGUGAAAGCGUGGGGAGCAAACAGGAUUAGAUACCCCCGUAGUCCCUGUCUCUUAUAC